GCCUCAGUAGCUCAGUCGGUAAGCCUUUCUCUUUUGUAAAAGAGAAACCCUUGGGAAAGAGAAAACUCUUUGACUCGGUAGAGAGGUUGACGCGCACCAUGUGCGCGUCUUUGCUGGUAGCGAUUGCCUCGUAAGCAAUAGGUCGCCGGUUCAAGUCCGGCCUGGGGCUCCA
rnacentral:tRNA from 1 species